rnacentral:lncRNA from 1 species
GAGGAGUUAAGCUCAUCGUCUUUCAUUAUGGCAUUAAAACGAUUCACAGCAAUACGAGGUCCAGUGAGUCAUUUUAGAUCUGAUAGAGGAACAAACUUCGUAGGCUCUAUCAAAGAAUUAGGGAUACAAGCAAUCAACGUCGAGGAUGGUCGAAUGAAAGAGUUUCUUCGUAAUCAGGGAACAACUUGGCAGUUCAACCCGCCUCACGCUUCUCACAUGGGAGGUGUCUGGGAAAGAGUUAUUGGCAUAACAAGAAGAAUACUAGAUUCGCUCUUAAUGGAAGCUUCUAGGAAUAAGCUUACUCAUGAGAUGCUUGUAACAUUUUUAGCAGAAGCAUCAGCAAUUGUGAAUUCGAGACCGCUUGUCCCUCUCACUACCGAUCCAGAAAAUCCGAUGCCGCUCUCUCCAUCUUUAUUACUUACUCAAAAACCGCAACAGAUCAUUAACGAUCAGCAAAUAAUUGACAGCAAAGAUAUGUACAAUAAACAGUGGAAAUGUGUGCAAAUACUUGCAGAUAAAUUUUGGAAUCGAUGGAAAAAUGAAUACCUACAAACACUCCAAACACAACGUAAAUGGACCGAACCACAGAAAAACAUCUCUCCGGGCGAUGUUGUUCUGAUAAGAGACAAGCAAUCUGCUAGAAACGAUUGGCCUAUAGGGAUUGUAGAGAGAACUUAUCCUGGAUCCGAUCAACUAGUACGUACAUGCGAUGUGCGAAUCAUGCGAAAUGGUGAACGUGCAGUGACAUACACUCGUCCAGUGACCGAAAUUGUGCAUCUUUUUCUAGACGAGUCAUGGGGAGAAGUCCAGAAAAAGAAAACUUUGAUAUUGACAAUGUAGAACUUUUAGCUUAGACAAUUUAGAACUUUAGUUGUUAUUUACAGUUAAAUGUAGUAUUGAACAUUUUAGUAUUUUUUGGUUUUUUGCUUUUUAUAGUGAUGCCUUUUGCAUCAGACGGGGAGUGUUCUGUCGAAUAAUUGACAAUUUAUUACUUUCACUAUAAAACCUUUUUAUUAAUCACGUUGGCCGUACAUUCCACAGCAGCCACAUCAAAAUCAUAUCACGUGUUUGUUUUUGUUCUCAUCUCAUUGUUAAAUUUCUUGAUCUACGGCCUAUCACGGAGUAAGUAAUUAAUUAAUUUAAUUUUUGUUUUGCAAUUAUUACAAAUGUAUUUUUGUUUAUUUUAGUAAGUUCAGUAAUCGUUUUAUUUACUUUGAUUAAGAGUUUUCAUUGUUCACCUUUGUUACACAACACACGCAUACACAUUCACAUCGUGUUAUCUUAACUAACGAAACACACUCAUUAUCAUUAUUUUUAUGACUUUCCAAUGUUUUACGAAUGUCAAGAAGGUGUUAUUGAAUAAGUUUGCAUACUUAUUUCUGUUUAUAUUGAUUUUGUAUCUGUAUUAAACUUUUGUUUAUUUUGGUAUAAAUACACGAGAUAACCUUGAUAGCAUGUUGAUACGUCAUACUUUAUUUAAAGAAAAAAUCUAUGGAACACAAUUAGUGCCACUUUUAGGCGUACAAUUUUGUCUUUCUAAUGAAUAAGUUUAAUUGUUUUUAAGCGCAUUUCACAUAGGAAAUUGUUACUAUUGUACUAUAUACUUUUUAUUUCAUUUAUUUAAUCAGUUAAAUUAGUAAUUCAUCUAAGAUCAGGUUUUUAUGAUUCUUUAUUUGUAUUUCAGUUUUUUACCACACAAACAUGUAUGUAACCACAUCAUCAUAGAUUAAAUCAUCUAAAAUCACAUGUUGUUACUUCAUCACGGGUAAACUAACUGUAAGGCGGCAGUGCCAAGGCAGAAUAA